CUUCCUACGGGACGCAGCAGUCGGGAAUAUUGCGCAAUGGAGGAAACUCUGACGCAGUGACGCCGCGUAUAGGAAGAAGGUUUUCGGAUUGUAAACUAUUGUCGUUAGGGAAGAUAAAAGACUGUACCUAAGGAGGAAGCACCGGCUAACUCCGUGCCAGCAGCCGCGGUAAUACGGAGGGUGCAAGCGUUACUCGGAAUCACUGGGCGUAAAGAGUGCGUAGGCGGGGUAAUAAGUCAGAUGUGAAAUCCUGUAGCUUAACUACAGAACUGCAUUUGAAACUGUUACUCUGGAGUGUGGGAGAG
rnacentral:rRNA from 1 species